UACGUAGGGUGCAAGCGUUGUCCGGAAUUACUGGGCGUAAAGCGUGCGCAGGCGGUUAUGCAAGUCAGAUGUGAAAUCCCCGGGCUCAACCUGGGAACUGCAUUUGUGACUGCAUGGCUAGAGUACGGUAGAGGGGGAUGGAAUUCCGCGUGUAGCAGUGAAAUGCGUAGAUAUGCGGAGGAACACCGAUGGCGAAGGCAAUCCCCUGGACCUGUACUGACGCUCAUGCACGAAAGCGUGGGGAGCAAACAGG
rnacentral:rRNA from 1 species